rnacentral:lncRNA from 1 species
AUGGUCCACCUUCAUCAGGGACGAUCUCAACUCAAGAUCUUUAUGUCUGCAAGGAUCCAUUUCCCGAGUACCACACAGCUUCUGAUGGACCCAUCUUUGCGGAAGCAGAAGCACCCUUCAACCUAUGCCUGCCUCUGCUUUAAAACCGGAUGUAGGGCGCGGCUCCCAUGGAAGGUCUAUUCCACCGGGCGAGAGACAAAGCAACGGACCGUGAUGUACUUCCAGGAGCUGGAGGGCACGAGAACUGCAGUGGCUGGAACUUGGGCCUUCAACGCCGCCAUCCUGAGUGCCUGCCGUGAACCAGGUGCUUUAUCUUCCAUCCAGGAUGUACAGUGGGCCUUGUCCUGCGUGCCAUGAUUUCCUGAGUCCCCAACACUAAAGACAAAGCUUCCGUCACACUUUCUAAAAGGAGAGGCAGACACGUCUCCCAGAAGUGGCCACCCGUGACCCAGCUCACCAGCCCCUUGAUGCCUUCACCAGAGAAGCAGAGACAUCUGGGAGGCUGGUCAGAAGGCCAGCCUUUAAAGCAAAUGCAAAGAGAGCUGUGGAGCAUGUCACCCAGCUUGCAUCCUGCUCUGUGGGGAAGAGAAGAGGGCUAUUUGCUCACCUACAUUUGGGGCAGGAACAGAAACCCUGAGAGAGGGGAGUGGUGGUGUCCACAGGCCAGGCAGGCAUCUCAUUUGCCCGGAGUGUCGCCUGAGCUGCUGGGUGCGGGUCUAGGGCCACCUUGAGAUGGGAGCGGAGGGAGCAGUGUGGUUACCACACUGUGUGGGGCUCAGCCUUCUGAAACUGGGCCUCCCCAGAACUGUCCAAGUUCCAUAGCGAGCAGUCAUGGGGGAAAUAAAGGGGCCUCCACACAGCCAGAGGCUGGUUGGAUCAAGGAAGUGUGUGUUUCUUGGGGGCCAAGGAAAUCCCAAGGAAGGAGCUGGACCAGGGCCAUCAACAAGGGCCCUGUGCCAGCAGUGCCUGGUGACAAAAGCAGGAAAGUGAGUAGUGAGGUAUCUGAAGGACCCACAAAAGCACCUCACGAUGAGAGAGAGAGAGAGAGAGAGAGAGAGAGAGAGAGAGAGAGAGAGAGGAGAGGACAAAGACAGUUGUUAUCGGGUGAAUUGUGUCCCCUGAAAAGCUAACACCUCGGCACCUGGGAAUGUGACUGGAUGGGGCUGUGGCCGAUGUCGUUAGUUAGUGAGGUCACACUGGGGCAGAGUGGGCCCUUCAUCCAAUUGAACUGGCGUGCUUGUGAAAAGAGGACAUUCGGGCAUAGACACAGAGAGGGGAGAGUGCCUCGUGACUGCCUAAGAAAGCUGGCAUUUACUGGAACCUGGAAGAGGCAAGAGAGGAAUCGGG